GAAGGGACGGAAGAGGGUGCUGGAGUUGGGUGAUUCUGUUAAAUGAACCAGCACUGAAAAGGAUCAGGACUUUGGAUGGAGAGUCCACAACCCACCACACUUGCUAAGACUAUCAUCAGUGGACUUGAAUUUUCAGCUUGGUUAGAGUACAAAUCACGGUUUGGUCAACAGGUUUCAAUUCAGUCAAUUCAGGAAGUGAAAAAUCUUCAUAAAAACUAGCCACUGUGUCUGAGUCUGAGUGUCCUGGUCGCAGAGAGCCCAGCUGAGAGGUCAGGCGUCGAGCGAGUAGGUGCCAUGGUGUGAGAUACCGUCAUGUCUGCCUGGUGAAGUGAGGGAGGGAGACGGGAGAGGAGAUGGAAUGGAAAAUGGCCCUGGCUGUUUGCACCAUGUGGAGAGGACACCUAGCCACUCUCCAUAUCCUCAGGGCUACUGGGGUCAAGACAUUAAAGCUAGGGGUGAGAUAGCUGUCCCUCUCUGACUGGAGCUCUUUGAUGACGUGAGGAAAGCCUUUGUGUGUGUGUAAUAGCCAGGAGGACCCGGAUAAACAGGCCCUUUCUGUCCACUAAAAGCCUUUGUUGUCUGGGCUGUGUGGAGAUGGAGGGGUGGAGGGUUAAGGCAUUCGCAUGCUGCCCAUCCGGAACAGUUCGUGCACAUAAUAUGGAAACAUUUUGUGCCGUUAUAGUCUUCGGCAAGUUUUUGUUUGACUGUUUGUGCAUACAAUAUUUUUUCUCGAGGCAAGACCGAAAUUCGGUUGCCGAAGUCUACGCUCCUUCGGUGGUGAUUGGUCAACUGUAGGGGGCGAAGAUUCAGCCCGAAACCCAUUGUGGAUUCAAAAUGGCAAAUGACAACAACUACAAUAGUUGGUGGGGGUUCUUGCAGAAACAUAACUGGCCAACUGAAUCAUUUGGUUUUGAAUUUGAAAGGACAGCAGGUGCAGGAACUUAACUUUAAAAAUUUAAAGAUCUCUUGUAUAAUCUAAAUUGAUAUUGCUUUAUGAUGAUACCGUCUAUCUUUUAAUAUUUGUGGAAAUCUUUCUAAAACAGAAAAUGGACCCAAUUCAAUAGAUAUCAAUCAACAAAGAGGUAAGAAUAUGUUGAAGGCUAGCUGUAUUGGGUGCAGAUGACUGAACUGCUCACCUUUGUGUCUGUGUCUGCAGGUAUACAGACGAGGAUUCAUACAAAGGCCCUGACACCUAUAGCUGAUUUCAUGGAUGACCUAUCGCCAAAACUAUCACCAGCUGCAUGAGUUCGUGCAUGACUUCAAGAAGAGGACAUGGACCAAACGACUGGGAACACAGUGAAAUGAACAACUUGUUCUGUUGAUGUUCAGAUAUCUCAGGAGUCCAGCCUGGUCUCAUAGACUAGACGUAACAUAGUAAAUGUUAAUCCGGAACACUAAAAUGUGUACGUUAUGUCACGUUUGGUUUGGUUACACAAGACAGAUGGUUACUUAAGGCAAAAAAAAGAAAGCAGGGUGGUUGGUCGGGCAUAUUAACGCGGACGUCUAGCAAUUGUGAGUUUGAAUCUCAUCAUGGACAACUUUUGCAUUUUAGCUAAUUAGCAACUUUUCAUCAACUUACUACUUUUUGCUACUUUGCAACUACUUAGCACGUUAACUAACCCUUCCCCUAACCUUAACCUUAACCCUUUUAGCGAACAUACCAUAUGAAACUUAACAUAUAAUACUAAAUGGAGUGUGCCAGAUUUACGUACAGAAUAAUACGAAAUGCUCCGAGACCAGGUUGAGGAAUCAGGGGAUAGAUACUUUCAUUUUAUUCCAUUGACAUUUUUAUUGUUUACAUGCCUGUUUUACGCAGACACAUUUGUACUAUUGUUCUGAAAUAUUUGUAUUUACACUGACACUUUAAUUGACAGGUGUUAAGUACAUGUCUGUUCUUAGCAGACACCUUUGUAUUGUAUUGUGGGUUACUUUCAGAGCCCAGAUGCCAGAAUAAAGGUUCAUUUUUGUGUGCUGAAAAA